GACGAACGCCGGCGGCGUGCCUAAUACAUGCAAGUCGAGCGAAGUUUUUCUGGUGCUUGCACUAGAAAAACUUAGCGGCGAACGGGUGAGUAACACGUAAAGAACCUGCCUCAUAGACUGGGACAACUAUUGGAAACGAUAGCUAAUACCGGAUAACAGCAUUAACUGCAUGGUUGAUGUUUAAAAGUUGGUUUUGCUAACACUAUGAGAUGGCUUUGCGGUGCAUUAGCUAGUUGGUGGGGUAAAGGCCUACCAAGGCGACGAUGCAUAGCCGACCUGAGAGGGUGAUCGGCCACACUGGGACUGAGACACGGCCCAGACUCCUACGGGAGGCAGCAGUAGGGAAUCUUCCGCAAUGGGCGAAAGCCUGACGGAGCAACGCCGCGUGAGUGAAGAAGGAUUUCGGUUCGUAAAGCUCUGUUGUUAGGGAAGAAUGAUUGUGUAGUAACUAUACACAGUAGAGACGGUACCUAACCAGAAAGCCACGGCUAACUACGUG
rnacentral:rRNA from 1 species